CUUUACUAUGAUUCACAAGCUCUCCAUGAAUGGCGAGCUGUUUAAAAAGGUGUUCCUUCAAAGUGAUGGAGCCGAUGAACACCUAUAUCACCUAUUUUCGUGGCUCGAUAUUAACAAGGUUCACAUUUAUUCACUCACUCACUCACUACCACACCUCACUCACAAUCCCUCUCUCUCACAAACACAAGUGCGACCACACACACACACACACACUUUAAUGAUCUCUUUCUCAUUAUUUUUUCAACAAUAAAUUUGCAUUAUUGUGAAUUGUA